rnacentral:lncRNA from 1 species
AUCAGAUGUCAAGUCUAUCUGUAUGAGUUUCCUCAGUGUUUCUUCAGAGCUUUUUGGAGGUCCAUCUACCUUGUCAAAUACUGACUMUGCCUGUUUGAGCUGAAUGAUUUCUUAGUUAUUGACAACUGCGUACGCUUGGGUGAACCUGGCUGGAGCACUCGCAAAUAAGGCKCAAAGAUCUGCAGCACAAGUUCUUCAGAGCUUGUCUGAGAAGAUCCUCAUCUGGAAGGCAAUCAGUUUGCCUGCUUUCUUCGACUGUUUCCUUCUAGCUAACUUGCCACCAAAAUGAAGUUAGACCUACAAAGGAGACAUUAAAUCAGAAAUGUCUCUACACUGAUAGCAAAUGUCUGCAAUAAGGCUAAUGAGCCACAAGACCUGAUUUUUCACCUAUCCKGGUGUUAUGCUGAUGUCAUUUAAUUGAUUUCAAUGGAUUACUCUGGUCAACGUGGUGUCAGGCUCAGAGCAUCUCUGUCUGUUUGCGAAGAGUUGCUACUGCUAUCUAAGCCCUGGGAUAAGGAGCCGAUCUCAGACCCUGUCUGUGCUGAACUGCUAAGAAGAGGAAGAGAAGAGGCAGAAGCCUCCGGCAUUUAUAGAUUGAAAAUCUGCUCACUGCUCUUGUGGCUGGUGGAUGCGGAGCAGAAGGCACCGAGCUGUCCGCUGGAAGGAAGGCGCUGACCUCUGGGUACGGCGUUCCUGUGCUCAGCACCUGCUGGCAGGACUGGUGACCUACACAUGAAAGCCUGASUGAUGGUGGCUGCCAAAUAAACUGGAGAAGAAAUGAAGAAAUGUUUCA